rnacentral:sRNA from 1 species
UAUAGUCUACGUGAUGACGGUUCCUAUU